CUGGAAUCGCAAGAUCCCACAACCCCUGUGAACCUACCGAAACGUUGCCUCGGCGGGUGCCCGGCCCUGCGCCGGGCGCUGCGCCCGCCGGCGGCCCCCCUACUCUUGUCUCUGCAGCGUGGCAUCUCAGAGUCCCAGAAAACAAGUCA
rnacentral:misc_RNA from 1 species